CCUCCCAUUUUUAUUGGCCAAAAAAUAUAAUUAAUAAAAACUUUUCUCUUUCUCUUCUUUCCUAUUUGAUGAAUACACACUUUACUCUUCUUUCCUUUCUAAUGUUUUUUCUCUAGAAUUGAAAAUCGAAGAGAGGAAGUUGAAGAUCGAAGUGACGAAGCUGAAGAAAUGAAGAGCUGAGCUGAUGAACUGAAGAGCUGAGCUGAAGAUUCUCUUCUCCAGAACCCAAAUUACUUGAAGAGAUGACGAGCUGAAGCUAAAGAUCUGGGAUCGAAGAACUGAAAAACGGAAGCUGAAGACUCGAUUUUGUCAAGCGAAUGAUCAUAAGGAUGAUGAAUUUUGUCAUACUGGCGGAGCUUCACUGUAUAUUAAAAAUCCUGAAGUUGAUGACAGCAGAUUCUUUGAGGUGGCAUGAUAAGGAGCGUUCAAAAGAUGAAAGUGAAGGCAUCCUACUGAUGGUCAAGCAUGGAAAGAUUUUGAUAGGUAUCCAAAUUUUGCUUUAGAUUCUCGCAAUGUGAGACUUGGAUUAGUAAGUGAUGGGUUCAAUCCAUUUCGAACCAUGAGUAUAUCUCAUAGCACAUGGCCAGUUAUGUUGAUGGCGUAUGAUAUGCCGCCUUGGAUGUGCAUAAAAAUCUGAAUAUUCUAUACUUUCUUUACUUAUACCUGGACCACGAUCACCUGAAAAUGACAUUGAUAUUUACUUACAACCAUUGAUAGAUGAGUUAAAAUUGUUGUGGGAUUCUGGGGUUGAAACAUAUGAUGCUUCAAGAAAUCAAACUUUUCAAAUUCGAACAGCUCCUAUUUGGACAAUCAGUGACUUUCCUGUGUAUGCUAUGUUGUCUAGAUGGAGUACAAAAGGAAAGUUUGCUUGCCCUUGUUUAACUAUAACACUAAUUCUUGAUAUCUUAAGCAUAGUCGGAAAAUGUAUGGAUCAUCGUGUUUUUCUACCCAUGGAUCAUCCAUAGAGAUCUAACAAAAGAUCUUUCAAUGGAAAAGCUGAAUUCAGGCCUCCUCCACUUUUAUUAAAGGGAACUGAUGUUACAAGAUUUUGAAAAUGUGGUUGGAAAGAAGAUAUAGAGAUCAAAUGGUGGCCCAUGGAAAAAAGGUCAAUUUGUUUUAAUCACCUUAUUGGCAGCACAACUUGUUACUCCACAACCUUGAUGUAGGAAGAACACAGUUGAUAGCUUUCUUGGAACUCUUUUGGAUAUUCCUGGGAAAACAAAAGAUCAUGCAAAAGCCCGAUAUGAUUUGAAAGAGAUGGGAAUUAGAAAGAAUCUUCAUCCAAAAGAUAAUGGAGAUAACAAGAGAACAAAGUUUGCAAAAGCUUGCUUCUCAAUGAAAAAUGGAGAGAAAUCAAUAUUUGUGGAGUUUUAAAGACAGUCAAGCUACCUGAUGGCAGUGCCUCCAAUAUAUCUAGGUGUGUGCAACUGGAUGAAAGGAAAUUGUCUGGUUAUAAGACUCAUGAUGCUCAUUUCAUGUUACAUUACUUACUUCCAAUACCCAUUAAAAGCAUCCUUCCAGAUCAUAUGGCUAUUGCUUUGAUUCGUCUAUAUUGAAAUCAUUUUCUUACUUGUUGAAAGUGUAGAAAAACUCUUCCACAAGUUCUUUAACUUUACCACCACAUAUGGUGCAAAACUCAUUUUUGAUUGAGAAAAAACUCCAUAUUGAUUGUUCAUGCUACUAUAUUCACUGGUCUAUCAGAGCUUCACGAUGAAAAGGAUAGCUCGUGAGGUUUAAAGCAGUGAUAGAUUAAAGUUGGAGAUUCACGAUGCUUCUGAUCUUAAAUAGAUCAGUUGAUGAAAGUCUUAAGAAGGCUGCCUCUGACAUGUAUGAUUGCUUAUUUUUAAUUAGAUUCCCCCCCCCCCCCACCCCACACACACACACACACAAAAUUUCCGUCAAAUCCUAAGCAAUUUCUGCUCAAGAGCAUAUUUAACUACUUUUAACCUACACCCAAACAUAGGUGAUUUUUUUUUCUUGAUCCUAGUUAUUUAAUUAUCUUCAGUAUUAUGUUUUUGAUAAUUUUUAUUGCAGAAUUUGAAAAUAUGAAAUGCUCUUGAAAGUUUUGGUUAAAGUUUAGCUAUACGGAUACUUGUACAUUCUCUCUAUUGGAUAUACUCUGAAAUUGGAAUUUCCAUCAUGUGUGCCUGUUGUUCUGCGUCUUCAGGAUCUAGAGGACUUGGUGGUUCAGUUGAUCUUCUAGAUCAUUAUAAACUUAGGAAACAUCUUGAUUUUUAUGCAAGUGAUCAUUAUCAUCCUCUAUAUCUGAGACAGAAUACCAUAGGAGUGUGGUGGGGGACAGAGAAAUGAGGAGAGGUGCAGGGAUGAAACUAGAUCAGCUGUCGAAAAGCUCUUCCUAUGAGGGACACAGAUGUGUACACUUGCAUUCCUUUUGUCUUGGAUAUACUCACGGAUACUUUUCGGCUCAGAGAAACAUCAUCUAUUGAUCUUCCAUUGGCAGGUAUAGGGUUACCUUCAGGUGCAUCAAAGCAUAAAAAGAACAAACACAAAGAUAGGUCAAGGAAACUGGAUCCUAACAGUUGAAUUGAUAAGGAUCACACGCCAAUCAGGGAUAACAAUAAGGAGAAAAAUGGGAGUAAGAAGCAGAAUCAUGGUCCGGAUAUUUUUCUGAGACAAAAAUUUAUGCUUCUUGCCAUGAAUAGUUGCUUAUAUUUUGUCAUGAUCAAUUCUACAUCUAAUAUUUCAAAUGGAACUCUUUCAGCAUAAAAUGUGAAGUAUAUUUCAAAUGGAACUCUUUCAGCAUAAAAUGUGAAGUGUUGAAGUUGUUUUGCAGUUAGUGAUACAUAGGGUUGAGAAUUGGGAUAUUUAUUGCAAUAAUUUCUGCUAUGGCUUUUUAGGUUAAUAAUGUUAUCCUUUCAUGAAUCAGAUAACUAACAGAGAUAUUUCUAGAGCUUAGAUUUGUAUUGAAGUCAAGUUGAUAUGUUUUUAUUAUUACUUUAGUGGUAACCAUUGUUUAUCUUGUGUUGUUGAUUGCUCUUUCAGAAGCCAAGAACUUAUGGCAUUGGAGGUUUUUCUAGUAUCCGCCAUACCAGGAAACUGAGUUAAAAUAGGUCAGCUUUCAUCCGACCUGGUAAUAACAGAUUUUCUUUGUAUAGAAAGUACACAAUAAUGUGUGGUAACUUAGCCACUUGGUUCCAUGUGUGGGGAAGCUCUGUUUCAUUAUUUUCAUUUCUGGCACAUGAAUAAUAGCUUAGUAAGUUUUUAAACUCCUGAGGAAUUUUUUUACAUACUAGUAGUUUUAAGGGGUUAUUUUAUUGUUAUUAUAUUUCUAGUUGUGGGACUCAUGUUUUAUUGUUUCUCUUUCCUA